ensembl:lncRNA
CUUUGUAGCACGCCAAUCCAGCUCAGCAACUAGUGUCAGAAGUUUGCUCACAAACAGUGAGCACUUACGAGAAGAUAGAACCUGGAAAAUGCAGGUCUUUGUGGUAUGAACUUUAACAAAACAGCUAUAAAGAGGUAAUAGGAAUGAACAGUACAUCACAUAAAGCACAGCAAAGAAGGAAAAGAGGGAACUCCACCACUGAUUGCACAACCCAAAGUGCUGUAGCUCUAAACAGAAGUGACUUUCUUGCUGGUACUUGGUGCCUCUCAGCUGAAGUGAUUUCCUUCAUAUACAAGGAUUUUGGGAAGUCUUUUUUGCUUGCUGGCUCAAAUCCUACUGCGCAUUCUUUUUGUCAACCUUGCAAAUAUUUUGGAUAAGUUUGGAUAUUUGGAUCCAAAUAUUUUGGAAUACUUCAGUACCAAAGCAUUUUCAGAGACUGCUACCAUGCCUCAAGGGAUUGAAAAUGCCUUCUGUCAUCAUUCCCAUCCAUUGAAAUGUACAUUAGAGACUACAGAGAGAAAACUGGGGCAAGGCAAAAAAUGAAACAAAACAAAACCAAAGCAGAGCCCAUCAAAGAAAGGGCUCAUAUUUUUGUGGAGUUCAAAGGAAUGGUGUGUCCCUAAAACAAACCAAUUUUCUCUCCCUACAUACAUCACACACACACACACACACACUUGAACACACACACAGGCUUCUGGUCUCAUUGUAGGCAUCCACUUUCUGAAUAACCAUUUCUGUAAGUAAACAAGCUGCUCCGACUGCAGCAUAAAAUGAGCUUAAUAACAACUGAGAUCAAAAUGAGCCAAGAUAGUAGGGGAUAAUAGUGGGGGAUCACUCCUAAGACUGUUUGCCCCUGAAGGGAGAAUUAUUAUUAUGACCUUGUACCACCGAGCGGGCAUGUGCUCCUAGCUGGAUCAAAUGUAGGCCUUGGCAAAGCUCUCUGCCUGGGAAUGUGGCUGCAGUAUCUAGUUUUUAACACUACUGGAAGUGUUGCUAUGGGCACUGAGGCACAGGAGCCAAAUACAGGGGAAGGGAAAUAAUGAAAAAUGCUGAUUAGGAGCUCAGAGAAAGGAAUGGAACAUUUGUG